rnacentral:rRNA from 1 species
UACGGAAGGCAGCAGUGGGGAAUAUUGCACAAUGGGCGAAAGCCUGAUGCAGCUAUGCCGCGUGUAUGAAGAAGGCCUUAGGGUUGUAAAGUACUUUCAUCGGGGAGGAAAAACAAAACUAAUAAUUUUAUUUCUUGACGUUACCCGAAAAAGAAGCACCGGCUAACUCCGUGCCAGCAGCCGCGGUAAUACGGAGGGUGCUAGCGUUAAUCAGAAUUACUGGGCGUAAAGAGCACGUAGGUGGUUUUUUUAAGUCAGAUGUGAAAUCCCUGGGCUUAACCUGGAACUGCAUUUUGAAACUGAAAUACUAGAGUAUCGUAGAGGGAGGUAGAAUUCUAGGUGUAGCGGUGAAAUGCGUAGAUAUCUGGAGGAAUACCUGUGGCGAAAGCGGCCUCCUAAACGAAUACUGACACUGAGGUGCGAAAGCGUGGGGAGCAAACGAGGAUUAGACUCC